rnacentral:rRNA from 1 species
GAUGAACGCUGGCGGCGUGCCUAAUACAUGCAAGUCGAGCGAACAGACGAGGAGCUUGCUCCUCUGACGUUAGCGGCGGACGGGUGAGUAACACGUGGAUAACCUACCUAUAAGACUGGGAUAACUUCGGGAAACCGGAGCUAAUACCGGAUAAUAUAUUGAACCGCAUGGUUCAAUAGUGAAAGACGGUUUUGCUGUCACUUAUAGAUGGAUCCGCGCCGCAUUAGCUAGUUGGUAAGGUAACGGCUUACCAAGGCGACGAUGCGUAGCCGACCUGAGAGGGUGAUCGGCCACACUGGAACUGAGACACGGUCCAGACUCCUACGGGAGGCAGCAGUAGGGAAUCUUACGCAAUGGGCGAAAGCCUGACGGAGCAACGCCGCGUGAGUGAUGAAGGUCUUCGGAUCGUAAAACUAUGUUAUUAGGGAAGAACAAAUGUGUAAGUAACUAUGCACGUCUUGACGGUACCUAAUCAGAAAGCCACGGCUAACUACGUG